rnacentral:rRNA from 1 species
GUGAGGAAUAUUGCGCAAUGGGGGAAACCCUGACGCAGCGACGCCGCGUGGGUGAAGAAGGCCUUCGGGUCGUAAAGCCCUGUCUAGAGGGAAGAAAUUUUCAAUGGAAUAAUACCUGUUGAGAUUGACGGUACCUCUGGAGGAAGCACCGGCUAACUCCGUGCCAGCAGCCGCGGUAAUACGGAGGGUGCGAGCGUUGUUCGGAAUUACUGGGCGUAAAGCGGGUGUAGGCGGUUUGUUAAGUCAGAUGUGAAAGCCCACGGCUCAACCGUGGAAGUGCAUCUGAAACUGGCAGACUUGAGUACCGGAGAGGGAAGUGGAAUUCCUGGUGUAGGGGUGAAAUCCGUAGAUAUCAGGAGGAACACCGGUGGCGAAGGCGACUUCCUGGACGGAUACUGACGCUGAGAUCCGAAAGCGUGGGGAGCAAACAGGAUUAGAAACCCUAGUAGUCC